rnacentral:lncRNA from 1 species
UGAUGAUCAAGACCCUGACUUGGUAUUUUCUUAUUGGUCUCUGUGAAAACAGUCUCUUCAGGAUCCAUGCGGAGAGACUUUAGUAUGAUCUUACAUCUUGAUCUGUUUCUAGUUCAAAUUUCUUUAAAACUCCUGUGUGAGAUGCUAUACUUCAAUUCAAAAGGUCUUUUUGUCCCAUUAGGUUUUCUCCUAUGGAGUGAUAUUUUAUUCAGCCCUCCAUUAUAACAUAAUAAACAAAGGAGUCACUGGAAAAAUUCCUUUAACGUGUAUUGUUUCCAGCUCGCCAUUUUUAGAUGACACUCCAGGCACUACCAACAGCAAUCUCACAAAGUCCCAGGAUGGUCUUCCCUCUGACAAUUCUUGUCCUUCCUGGACCUUAAGCAACACUUGCCUGUUUGGAUUGCCUUGGAUCCCAUACUUCCAAGACUCCUCGACGAAGCCAUCCUACCAGUCACUUCUACCUAAAAUGCCUCAUUCUUUAGUCCAUGAGAGUGCAAACGUGGCUACAUUCUAGGUGUUCUAGGUGAUUCUGUGAUAAUCUUGACAACUCGGUUGCUGAAGCAUUCUUAAAUUUAAUUUUUAAACCAAUCGCUAUAGAUUUUGGAACUUUCCUGUGCCACCUCCUGAGACGCCACCUAGAAGUUAGGGUUGAGACAGUGCCUAAUGUGUCGUGUUUUUAGGAAGUGUUUCUUUUAAGCGAUGUGGCAAUAUAGCCCUUGCACAUUCUCUUAUGAUAAGACAUUUGUAUAUAAUUUUUAUGUGGAGAUAAUUUUACAAAUAAAAUCUGCUGUGUCUUUGUGGCUAUACUUCUU